CCACAGUUGGCAUUGGGAAGCGUGCUGUGAGUUUAGAUGGGGAAACCAAGACCUGGACUGAAAAUAUUGCCCGACCUUGCAGAGCAGAGCUGCUGAAUCUUGAGCCCAAGUUUUAGGAGAGGCUGGAGAAUCUCAGGAGUGACUUGAAGUCUUGCCUAUGAAGCUUCAUUUGAGUGCUUUUAAAGGGACAACACAAGCGACGACAGAGUGAGAGGAGGGUGAAGCAUGCCAACCAAAGAGGGUCAACGAUGGACAGCUGCCCCUGCGAACUCGGAGGCAGACCUGAGCAGAUUCUUGACCACAGUCCUCAGGAGAAAUCAACCCUGGCCACAUCUUGAUCUCAGACGUCCAGCUUCCAGAAGGACCGCGCCCUAUCUGUGACGAGAAGUGUGUGCUCCGUGGGCUCCUGGUGCCGCUGGUCGGGGGUCUUCACUGU